rnacentral:lncRNA from 1 species
AUCACUGCAUGCAAAGCGUACAGGUUCCCUUGUGUAGGUACCUUUUAUGUUUAUGUAGUUUAUGUUUGAUACAGCGACUGCUGAAGUUUCAUUGUGGCAUCCUCCACCAUCGCAGUAAUAUUGAUCUAUUACUAUCGGAUUAGCUACUUCGCUGACUUGGAUAUUUGAAAACAUAACUUGUUUUACAGACCCUGACCCUCCCUACCAUUAAACAUAAUAGAAAGUUGUCAGAAUCUUUGAGCGGUUACUUUGAUUUGUCUUUGCCUUUGUUUUGUUAUGCAAACAUAUGUGUAGAAGAAUUUACCUGCCAGGAUUUUAUUCGAACACCAUUCGUAGUUUCAUGCAUAGUGACAUCACGGACAGUGAUGUUUGAAACACACGCCUUUGUGUUCUCCUUUCCUAGUCCUCCAAUGCUAAUUCCAUGGCCAGGCCCACAGUCUACAUCGUGUAUGUAGAUAUUUGAGCAUCCUGUUUGAAUUGAUAUACAGUCAUCUCCUGUAAAAUGCACGAAAUUGUUAUUUCUUCAUCUUGGCAAGUUUGUUGAGGAAGUAUAAUCUGGAAAUGUUUUGAUGAUUUGACUUGUAGUAUCUAAUUAAGAAUAUAUUGACUUGUAACAAAAUAUAAUUUAAACAAAAUGGGGUAUGUUUGAAGUCUGUUGUUACCACAAGCCAGCGUGCUGCGGUAAAUAACGGCGUCUUGAGAGUUUUGCAGGUGGAUUCCAUCUGUGUUUGGAGAAUCUCCAGGAGAUGAAGUUGUGAAGUCAGACACUUGAAUGUUUACGCAGUUAUCAAACUUGAGGUGGGUCUGAGGGCUGUUCUGUAUGGUUAUUCCAUUAACCAUUACACCGUUACUCCCGUAGAAUCUCAACGCCUACGUACCAGCCAAGGUAAUUGAUUAAGUUUCACAUUUUGACUUUAAUUGGCAUCUCCAACCAUGAGGCAAUCAAAUGAAACUUACUGUUGGUUUUGUUCCUGGCAUUUUCGUGCCCUUUCGAUCCUUCAUCUUUCACAAAUAAAAAAGGUACAGGAAGCAGAGGUUAUUGUAAGCUAGAUUUUUUUUUUUUAAUUUUGUUUAGCUAGGGAAAUUGAGUUUAGUAUUACCAUGUCGUUCUCAUCUGCUGGAUCAUAGUCAGGGGACUUGUUCCACCAUACCGAUCCUUGUCCAUCUAUUACUCCUUUUCCUUUUAUAGUGAUUCCUGUAAGUGAUUUGAAUUCCAUCCAUUGCAAGAGACCUGAUCCCCAGACACUCGAACUUGUUGGAGCUAUGAUCUUUCCAUCUAACUGCACAAUGUCCAAAUACACAACUAUAUAACUAAAGUUGCUCGAAUAACAUUUCUUUGUUUUUUUUUAUUUUUUUGAAAUUCACCUGAAAUACAAUGUUCUCUUUACACUCUUUUCCCAGGAAGGAGACAGGUCCAACAAGGAACGUAGAACCGGAUGGAACUAAUAAUGUCGAUGCUGCCACUUUACAAGCUUCAUUCCAAGCAUCUUCAAAGGCCUGCAAUAUCAAAGGUACAUUGAUCAUCAAAAUCUUCAUUGUUUGGACGGUAUAGUUGCAUUAUAUUUGCUGCUAAACCAUUGAAAUGCUAAUUCACCUUCGUGUCAUCACUUGUCCCGUCACCUUUUGCACCAUAGUCAAGGACAUUGAACGUUCCGGAACUUCCCCCUUCAGCGUUAGACCUGCGGUUUCCUCUCCAGUAUACACUGUGUCUAGCGUCACAAGAGAUUAAAAGGAGAAGUUUCAGGGCAAGACAUUUCAAGGUUAGACUAUACAUCUUUAGUAUGUUGAAAUAAUUUGUGUCUAGGAAGAAAUGUGUUUAGAUUUUGAAUGAUGAGGAACUGAUGAGACGAGGUUCAUAUUUAUAAGUAGAGAAAACACUGUUCCACAUAUGAGUUAUGAAACUAUGAAACAGUUAAACAGUUAGAUGAGGACAAAAAGCUUUGGAACUCUCUUCCUCUUCAAGCAUGUUCUACUCAUUUGCUAUAUUUUAAUUUAAUUGGAAAAUGAGCAAAAAAGCUGAUGGGGGUUUACUUGCUUGAUCAGCUUUUUCUAUUGACCGCAUCGUCACACUUUACUUGCGAUUUGGCUUUGAUUUGUUCUUGAACAAUGCGUAUUACUCAGAGUUCUUUAAUAUCAUUUAGCUUUGAUUGUUCAUGAAUAAUGCAGUGUUACUUAGAAUUUGUUUGUGUCGAUCAUUACUAACAUCUUAAUGUUCCUCUAGCAUUAAUUAGAAGUUCCAUUGAAUGGCUAUGAGGUGUCUGUGCAGUACUUUAGUUGCUAGAAACAUCUGAUCAACUUUCGUUUAUACUUUAUAACAUAACACGGGUCUUUUCAGGUACUGAGCUGGUCUUGGUAAGCUCUUCGGUUAACACAAAAACCAAAAUCUAUUUAUCAGGCAAAGGAUUAUUAAAGAGUCAAGAAAAGUUGCCAUACAAUCACAGGCAUGUCACGUAGACCUCAUCAUAAGAUAAUCUUUUUUUUUUAUUUUGAAUUCCUUAAAUUAAGCAGCGUAAUUUAGGUUAAAUCUGUGGUGUUCAUUGAAUCUUCUCAAAUGCUAUAUAAAAUCUAUUUAUCAUUUUUUCUUCGAACUCAUGAACAUUCAAAGGUCCAUAUUAGUUGCACGAGAAUAGGAUGCUCAGCACGGUUUGAUUAUGGUAUAUUAGUAAGAUUCAAAGUUAUGUAUUGAACUCGUGAUGAAGAUACACUUUGCAUGCAGCCCCAGGUGGAAGGAAGAAUAUAGACUUGUAGAGUAUAGACUAGCACGUUGCUACAUGUAUGGAUCCCAUGCGUUGACUUUGACAAAACUUUGUUGAAUUAUUCUAUAUCUCUUGAUCUUGAAGAGCCUAUUGGUCCCCAAAUUCACUGAAAUGCUGUUACUAUUUUAUUAAUUGUACCUUGCUUUGGCUGUUGGAAGUGUGAUUAUAUAUAAGAAAUUAAAUUUCAAGUGAUUCCAUGUCGUGUAACUGAUUUCUUGUACACUUUUUUAUUAUCUUCGACUAUAUUAGGUGUGAGGUAGGUGGUGCAUGUUGCAGUUUCUAUACGAUUAGAGAUGUAUUUUUGUUGUUGGUUUAGUUAUUUUAUCAUUUUGAUAUAGAUUUUACGAAGAAAAAUGGUUGGAUAGCAGCAAUUCACGGAAGAGAUCAUAACUCGUAGCUUGCAAGUCACAUGAACAAUAUUUUCUAGCAGUCUGUAGAAUUUCGGUAUAUGCCCAACAACUCGUGCAAGUCGUACCAUUUGAAAAUUGCACCAUUAUGUAAUCGUAACCCGUGAUCUGAUUCUGAUGUAACGUCUAUUACAUUUUCUUAUGUAUAAUGAAAUCUAUUUGUAUGUGCAGCAGGCG